rnacentral:lncRNA from 1 species
GCCAAUUUAACUAAGGGUAGUUUAGUAAUGUGUUAAUAGAAAUAGAUAAACCCUAGGAUAUAAGGGUUGAAAAAAGGGGAAAAGGGGGAGGGAGGAAAAAAAAGAAAACGGAAGUGGAGUGAAGAACUUCCAACAUUAUGGCUAGGUUGGGAUACAAACGGAGACGGAACUUCGACUAGGGGUCAUCCGGCAAUCGUGUGAGGCGGUGCUUGGGUCGGUGAAAAUCUUGAGGUGGCUUAUGUAUAGAGAGGUCUCAAAAGCAAGGGAAGGUAUGGGAUUUAUAGAAUCUGAUCAUUUUUUUGAUUAGUUGGUGAUUAGUCACUUAAAUGCAUUGGCUUUGUAUUUUAUUGGGUGUGGAACCAAUGCACGAUAGUGCAGAUUGGGAACCCAAUCACUCAUCUUGGUUGUUGAGUGAUUUUUCACAUAUUGUUGUAUAAAAUAUUUCUCUGUGAUGUUGUGUUGUGUUAGUGUUGCUGCUACUAAUCUUGGGAAUGAUGAAGUGUUUAUAUAUAAAAAUAUCCAAACCAAUUAAGCUUAUUCACAUAGCCCUGUUUGAGGGUAUGUUUAUUUAACGAGUAGAUUUGUGAUAGGAUUAAUUGAUCAGAUCUGUAAGGUGGGGAAGUCCCAACAUAUGAAUCUGAUUACGUUGAUUAAUCAUUAUAGGUUAGCACGUAUGGUGAGGUAAAUGCUUCAUAGAUUUAUUUUCAACUCUCUUUUAUUUUCAGAUUUGUUAAUUCCAAAUUUGUUGAUUCCAGAUUUAUUUUCAACACUCUUUUAAAUUUUGUUGGUUCCAGAUUUGAUGAUUAGUAUAUCUUCAACUCUUUAUUAUUUUCAGAUUUGUUGCUUUCAGAUUUGGUGGUUCUAGAUUUAUUUUCAGAUUUGUUUGUUCCAGAUUUAUUUUCAAGUCUCUUUUAAAUUUUGUUGGUUCCAGAUUUGAUGAUUAGCAUAUCUUCAACUCUUUUUUAUUUUCAGAUUUGUUGAUCUCAGAUUUGAUGGUUUCAGAUUUAUUUUCAACUCUCUUGUAUUUUCUUUUGUUGUCAUGAUAUAAUAUGAUAUUGGGUCAUAUUAGAUUCAUUUUGAAAUGAAGAUAUGCUGUGUAUUUCCAGAUUUGUUGAUGAUUAGUUUCAUAUUUUUAAACUUCCAGAUUUGCUAAUUGGGUCGAUAACCGAUUAAGUUUUUAAUUUUAUCCCGAUUCAGAUUGUUGUUUUAUCAACACUGUGAUUUAUUUCAUCUAUGUUCAGAUUUUCAGAAGUUUAAUUAAUCAGUCUUGAGAGUAAGUGUGUUGGUCUGAAUUCUUGAAAGCAUGGUUUAAUUUCAACUCUCCUUUAUUUUCUUAUGUUGGUUGUAUAUAUCCAUUUUUUUGUGGUCAUAUGAUUGAUGAGUGAAGGAUAUGUGAGUGACUACUACAUGUGAACUAGUGAGAGUAAGGUGAUUUUCAUUGAUUUUGAUUCUUUAUAUGUGAUAUGGCUGACGUUAGGUAACCCAUACUGAGUCGAUGAAAUAUUUGACUCACCCAUCUUUGUGUUCAUUGUCUGAUAGGAUGGAAUCAAUGAAAAGAUGCACGACGGUCAAGGAGCAAAAUUGCCCCUUAAAAGAUCCACAUAUGAUAAUAAUCAGUUAAAAGAGAAUAACUUAUAAACAAAUCAAUCAUCAUCAACAAAGAUCCACUUCUUUGGUAACAAU